rnacentral:misc_RNA from 1 species
AAGACUAUAGACCUGCGGAGUACCUGCGGAGGGAUCAUUACAGAGUUAUCAAACUCCUAAACCCUUUGUUAAUUUACCUAUUUGUUUCUUCGGCAGGUGGUCCCUGGGAGGGUCCUGCAGCCUGUUAAGGUACCUGCCGAAGGUCAUAACUCGGUUUUACAUUAUGUGUCUAAGUCUUACUAUAAAAUAAGUCAAAACUUUCAACAACGGAUCUCU